UUGAAUGUGUCAGUUCUGCCUGUACAACUCUCGUUCUGCCUGACGCUCUGGUCUGUCUUCUCAGUCGGAGCGGCGGGAAUGCACUCUGGCACUCCCAGAGUGUGGCGCACUGAAUAACCGAACAGCACUCUCCAACAAUGCUCUGAGUUUCCGAACGUUCCAGAAGGUAGAGAGCGCGCUUGUAGUGAAUUUCCGAAUGUACCUUUCCGUAGUGCCUCUAGAGGUUGGACGAGACACCACAGUAUGUAGGUUGUUGAGUAGUUGUGUAGUUUAAGACGUCUGACUGUCUGGUGGAUGACAGAUGAGAAGGAGAGUAGUGAGAAAUUAUCAUUAGGGAUGUGUCUAAUUUGAGGCAAAUCGCCAUACACUUUGAAGCCUUUCAAGCUGGUUAACUUAGCUUAGCUUGCUAGCCGCUAACAACGAUAGCAGAGUGGAACUUCGAGGGGAACUUGGGUGAACAAGAGGAGAACCAGCGACAAUGUCAACUACUGGACACUGUUUCAGGCUCACGUUUGUGCUCCAAAGACCAGAACAGGGAUUCUCAAACGUUGGGUCUAGCUAGGGACACCUGACAGUAGAGACAUGAAGAAAAAACAAGAAUCUACAAAAUUUCACCUGCACUGUCCAGUAUGCAGUACGAGAGCAGGGGGGAGGAGUUUCAUCUACAUCCCGGUGACACCUCCACCAUGGCGAGGUCAUCAGCGGCGGGAGACUCGUUCCACGGGCGGCCAAGUCUUCACCCAACCAGCUGGCAGUUACUGGGGAGGAACCCAUGCAGCUCGGAGGAGGACGACUCACCCUGGCAGAGCGUCAGAGAAGCAUGAGGAACCAUGUCUGUCUCUACUGUGGUUUGCCUUGACAUCUGGUGGCGGCAUGCCUGUCGAGACCUGAUUAGAUAAGCCUCCCACCAGCAAUCCACAUGACCUCUACACGCCCCCCGAAGAGCAAUUGUGAGUACCCAGUGACUGUGGCUGCACCCGUUAAUGCUGAGGGACAAGUGAAUAGAAAAAGAUUGCAACUAAAGUUAAAGGUUUCGGGCUUUGGUGGCCGCCUCCUGGGCAUGGUAAUGCCCAGGAGGCGGGGGCAUUACCAUAAUGCUAUCUCCAAUUACGUCUCUCUGGCAAUCAUGUGAAAACGAGACAGUUUUUUAUCAUGUCAUCAUAAUCGGCUCCAGUGGUCUUGGGCUUAACCUGGCUAGAAAUGCACAAUCCAGAUAUAAAUUGGACUAAGCCCGAAAUCGAAAAUUGGAGCUUAUUUUGUCAUGCUGUCUAAGGUCUGCGGUUGAUACACAUUGUGCUCAAGUUAAAAUAAUGGAACCUGUUAACUUGGACAACGUACCUUCCGAAUACCAUGAUUUGCGGUUGGUAUUUAGUAAAGAUCAUGCUCAGUCUCUUCCUCUUCACCGGCCUUUUGAUUGUGCGAUUGAUCUGAUACCGAACGCCCCACUACCAAAUACUAAACUGUACCAGAUUUCAAAGCCGGAACAAGAGGCACUUAGGGAAUAUAUGUCUACAUCCCUUGCUGCAGGCCUUAUUCGUCCGUCAUCCUCACCAGUGGGGGCAGGGUUUUAUUUUAUUGACGAGAAGGACAAGACGCUGUGGCCAUGUAUUAAUUUCAGGGGGCUUAACAUCACCGUGAAAAACAAAUACCCGUUGCCUUUAUUGGACUCAGCGUUCGGUCCUCUGCAAACCUCAACCGUAUUUUCCAAAUUGGACCUGCGCAAUGCCUACCAGUUGGUUAGGAUUAGGGAAGGCAAUGAAUGAAAAAUUACAUUCACUACCCCUAUGGGCCAUCUUGAAUAUUUAGUCAUGCCAUUUGGUCUUUCCAACACACCCGCACAGUGUUUCAAAGUUGAUAAAUGAUGUUCUGAGAGAGAUGAUAAAUUGAUUCUGUUUCGUGGAGCUUGACGAUAUUCUGAUUUUCUCUAGAAAUCUGCAACAACCCUGAGAACACAUCCAGCUGGUGUUACAACGUCUGCUGUAAAACCGGCUUUAUGUGAAAGCAGAGAGAUGUGAUUUUCAUUCCACUUCUGUUCAGUUCUUGGGGUUCAUAGUGGAGAAGGGUCAACUGAGAGCUGAUCCAGCCAAGAUACAGGCUGUGGUGAACUGGCCUUCUCCUAUAUCAAAGAAGCACUUGCAGAGAUUAUUGGGUUUAGCCAAUUUUUACAGACGGUACGUAAUUUCAGCAUGGUGCCGUUUCUUGGGACUCCGGAAGCUGAAGUGGCAUUCGUUCGGCUGAAAAAUUUGUUUUCUAGUUCACCUAUCCUCAUUCACGCUAACAAUGAUCUUCCCGUUUGUUGUAGAAGUGGACGCAUCGGAUACAAGAGUGGGGGCGGAGUUGUCUCAACGGCCCCUAGUCGACCAGCGGCUGCACCCCUGUGCAUUUUUCUCAUGUCGCCUUAGUUCGGCCGAGAGUAGUUAUGACAUAGGGAACUGCUGGCCAUCGUGUUGGCUCUUCAGGAAUGGAGGCACUGGUUGGAGGGUGCUGUGGAACCUUUUAAGUAUUUACAGAGCAUGAAAACUUGGACAACAUCCAAUCCGCUUGCAGGCUUAAUUCAUGUCAAGCUCGUUGGGCCUUGUUUUUGACGCGUUUUGACUUACUUUCUUUUUUUUUGUCCUGUUCAGCUGUUAGGUCAAGCAGAAUGGAAAAUCUUUAUCCCUUUUAUGCCGGAACUGUUUUACUGUGUCACAGUGGAGUUUUUAAGCUUCCGCUGUGGUAUUAUAAAUGUGAAACAAAGACAAAGCACUAAUUGUAAACAGGAUGAGAUAAGUAAAUCAUAACAUUACCUACAACAAUGAAACAUUAAAUAUGAGUGUUGCAUGGUGCUGUAGUGCUACACCCUGUGAGGGAAGGACAGGACAAGAUAGAACAGGACAAGGACAGGAGAAGAAGCAUGCAGGACAAGGGUCGUGAACCCGACUGUACAACUGAAGUGUGGUGGCAUUAAUUAUGUGAAUUAUAAAAGUCUACAGGACGAGAGUAUAAGUGAGGGGAUACACAAGCGAUUUGCAUAUUCAUUAGUUAUUUGUCGCAGUAAGUGCGUGACCCCACACCCAGUGAAAGAGUCCUAGGGUUGUGUGUCUGCGGAUACAUGCAAGUGAAUUGAUACCGUUUUACAUGCACAAAGACUGACAGAAGUGUCCUGUAAUUGCUGUGGCCGCACAGCGGUGGCUGCGGACCCCACCCAAUCAAUCGAAGGGCGGGAUCAGGCCCAGGGGUUCACCCGAGAGCUGCCCUGCGGACAGAACACGUCCCACACCGAGGGACCCAGGGUGGUCUGCUGGCCCCACCGAGGCGCCCCGACAACCGGCCACCCAGUGGCGGCCGCAGGUACCCAUUGCCAUCCAACUGCCCACCCCACCCACAACCCCACAUGCCCAGCCCAACCCCAGGAGAGCAAGAUGCCCCCCCCCCCCCAAUCCGCAGGGCCCGCAAUGCAGCCAGUCCCACCCAGCCCGAGGGCGGGAGAAUGUCCCUUGUUUGUUGGAAAGGAGGCCGGAUAGGGGCACCCAACAAGGGAACGAUAAGGGGGGGGGACCCAAGGAACAGGGCCAUGAGAGGUCAGCCCCAACACCAAGCAAUCAUCCAGCCCCGGGGUCCCAGCCUCAGGAGCACCGCCACGCAAGUAAGUGAGACCCACCUCCCCCCCUGUUACUAUUGGCCCUACCCCGUGUAUCAGUGCUCCCACGAAUGAUGCGGUGCAAUAAAAUCUGGAGAGGUCAGUGAGCCGAGGGGGUGGGGGCAGGGCUGCCAGGCACCACUGCCAAACAGCCAACCAUCGAGUCUUUCCACCAUGCAAACCGAUCAAAAAUGUGUGAAAAUAAAAAGAAAAAAGAAAAAGAAAUAAAUAGAAUAAUAAUAAAACAACAACCUCGACAACAAAGAAUAUAGAAUUCCAUUGUUUACUUUCACACUUAUGAAAAUAGUCUUGCUAAUGUCAAAUUGCACCCCACUCAGGCAAAAGAAUCAAGAGUCUAGAUUUAGCAAGUUGAGGAAAGGUGACCAGCUAUCUACGUAUAUGUGUAAUUGAUUUUAUUUCGUUCUGCUGAUAUUUUUUCAAAUGCAAUAUAUUCUAUGAAGAGAUUUAGCCACUGAUUGAUGUUAAUAGCUUGUUUGAUUUUCCAGUUUAAUAUAAUUGUUUUCUUAGCUGUAGCUAAUGCGACAAGUAAUGAUUGUGAAUAUUUAUUAGGGAGGUCAAUUAUGCCUAAUCGCCAAGUAUACACAAUCUUGGGGAAAGUAGAAUCCUGCAGUUUAAAAUAUACGAGAGUUUUUGUAUAACCGAAGACCAAAAGCAUUGAAUUGGUGUACAUUCCCAUAUAGAAUGAAAAUAGGUGUCUGGGGUAUUUUGGGUGCAUUGCACGCAUAUAUUAGAUGGAGAGAACCCCAUUUUAUGCAUAGUGUACUGAGUAAAGUGUGUUCUAUGGAGCACUUUAUAUUGUAUAAGAUGUAGAUUUGUGUUUUUUUUGUAUCGUAUUGUUAUUGUUUUUUUGUAACGUAUUGUUACAAAUCUGUAUCCAGUAGCUUCGGUUAGCAGACACGGGAGAGGUCUUUUUCCCAUUUGGUGAUUGGUAAGUGUUAAAUAAAUUGUAGAAGUUAUCAUUUAUUUGCUUAGCUUGCAUUAGUAUUAUGGACGAUUUUGAUGGUUGCUUGCUGACCGUGGAGGAGGGGAAGAUGUCUCGCCUUCAAGAAGAUGACUCAGCGGGAAUCGUCAGAGAAGGGUGCCUUGACCAAGGACACGUGGCCAGUGUUGGUCUCAUGCCUUCACCUUGAAACCCUCCCCUUAGUAUGUUAUGUCUUGUAACUUAGUAUGUUAUGUCUUGUAACUUAGAUACCUCCCUAUUUCAAAUAAAUACAGGAGCAACGGGGGAGAUUGUUAAGAGCGUGAUAGGAGACUGUAAUUGAACAAUCUCCCACACGUCCUCCUCAUGAGCAAAAGAAAUCAGCGUCUUCAUUCCUUUGUGUCUAUUUUUUAUAGGUGUUGGGUGAGAUAGAUCCAACAUUAAAUUGGUCCUUCGAGCCAGAUGUCAACACACCUGAGGAUUCCAGUUGUGGAGCUGACUUCCAGUUAAGAGACCGUGGCCACGGCAAGUAAGACCCUUUACGGGACUGGUCUUCGUUCUCCUCAACUGGGAUCUGAAGGUUGACGACAAUCCACAGGUUUGAAGACGACUUUGGUGAGUUAAAUUUUUUUUAAAAAGGAUUAAAGAGUGAGUGAAUUGCGCGACAAAGAAGUCUGCGGCAGAAUAAACCCUGUGUAAUAUGAGUCACUGGCAAGUAAAAGAGGGACGGCGGAGUCCGAGAAAUUCUGCAAGGACGGCGGAGUCCAGUACGUACUUAAAUUCCGUGUUUGUAAAAACGUUACUAGUAUCGUGUGAAUGUGUAAAAGUAUGAAUGCGUAAGACAGGAUUGUAAGUGACAACUGGGUUUGGAAGCAGAUGCAAGAAUGUCACCCUGUCAUUUUGAAUAAAGUCAGUAUUUAGGUCACCCGAGAUGCAAAUAAACUGACUUCCAAAUUUACAAAAUGGGAAAAAAUAACAGUAAAACGGAUCCAAAAGAACGCUUAACGUGUAAAGACUGGAAAUAUGUUCAACUCCAAAACCCUUCCAAAAUAAAACAUUAAAACACGUGGAUAACCAAAUACGGUUUCGCUGGCCAGCUAAAUUCGCAAAAAUUGGUUAAACUUCGAGACGGAAUAAAAUGUCGACACAAAAAUAAUAUAUCAAAAAUAGAAAAAGAGGGAUAUGACGACUUAUUCUUCUGGCUAAACAUGGCAUCUAAAAGAGAAAAAGGAAGUAAGAAAAAGCAGGACUUAGAACACCAUGGUGUUGUAAUGCCACAUAAUGACAGAGAAUUACAACAUCGAGUUAGGGCUUUAAUUGUUGUUCUUUUAUUUGUAGACAGGAGUGCACAAAAAUAUAAUUUUCAGACAAUGUGAUGUGUGGAAUGUCGAAAUUAUUUUACCUUUCCUUUUUGCACGAUAGCAACAACAUAAAUAUUUAGUUGUAAUUGUACAUAUUUUUGUAAAUUGCAGUUGGUGCAACCACCAGCAGAUGCACUCCCACACCUAUUGGCAAGAAAGGUGUAAAAAGUAUUUUUCUCCACACUGCAGCAAUGAUAUGUUUAAUUUUAAUUUUAGUCAUUUACAGGAGGUGCAUCAAGCAGUAUCGUGGCUGUUCAUGGCUGGUCGUCUGCUGACUGGGAACCCACAAAAGUCCCAUUCACGGCAACUCCUGGGCAGAGCCACGGACCUGGACUUUGACCAGCCAGCAGACUUCCUGGACCUGUUCCUGACAAGGGACUUGCUUCAACACAUUGUGAACGAAACAAAACACUUUGCUCAGAAUUUCUUUGAAGCACAAACAAGCAGUCUGCUACACAGCAGAUGGAAUGCAUGAAAACUGCUCACACUCCAAGAGCUCAAAAUAUUUUUGGGACUCAUUACAGGAUUUGUAAAAGAAAAAAAAAAAAACCCACUCUUGCAAUGUUUAGGAAUGCGCACACACACACACACACACACACAGACACACACACAACUGUACAUACAGUGGGUACAGGGAGUAUUCAGACACCCUUCAAUUUUUCACUGUUUGUUAUAUUUCAGCCAUUUGCUAAAAUCAUUUAAGUUAAUUUUCUUCCUCAAUGUACACACAGUACCCUAUAUUGACAGAAACAAACAAAAUUGUUGAAAUCUUUGUAGAUUUAUUAAAAAAGAGGAGGAGGGUCCGAGAGGAUUUUGCACGCUCUUGUCCUAGUUCUGGCAGCGUGCAAGUCCUCAAGGGUGGGUAGGGGGGUACCGACAAUCCUUUAAAAAUGUCUGGCACCUGGCUCUCCCAAUUUCUCAAAAACGGCUGGCAUUAAAUGAGUGAAGAGAUGAAGGAUACAGAGAGGUUCAGGUCUGAUGGAUUAAUGUGUGGAAUCCUGAACAGGACGGUAACAAUGAUACUCUAAUUAUAAAUUAUAUUCAAUAUUCACCCUUCUGAGAACAUGUUUCAGUCUCAGGGCUUCCCUGGCUGUCCAGAGUCUGUUCCAGGGAAAGAUGCAAUCGUGUUUUUCAUCUUGCAACAGGUCCUGGAAAAUUAUACUCCUCAUCUUAUACAAAAUCGAGAUUCUUCCUUUUUACACUGUAUCUCACUUCUUGAAUUCUUUUUGCGUUUUUGGUCAGGCAUUUCAAAUUAUUAACGAUCUUAUCGCAUUUCUAUAGAAAAAAAUAUUUUUGUGAUUUUUUUGAUAUUUUUGUGUGUUUGGUAAAUGUGAAAUGUGCUCUGCUUCCAAGCAUAUUUGAGAUGCUCAUGUGUGACCUUUAUUUGACCCAGAGGCUUUUUAAAGCACUGAGGAGCGGCUGACAUAUUUAAAAUGCCACAGUAAUAAGGAACAUUUCCAAUAUGUUCAUGAGUAUAAUCAAAGUAUUAAAGGGUUUUUACGCAUGAUGAAGUCAACAAUUCUUAGUUCGUCUUACCUCCCAACAAAGACCAAAUAUCAAAGUUGAAAUGUUUCGAUCAGAUGUUAAAUGUCAAGAUGAUCAGAUGUUAAGAAUCAUAAUUUCUCAGAUAGAUAUAUAACAAAGUAAUUUGUAUAAUUAAAUGACAUAUUCCCCUGAAACAGGGGACAUUCAGUAGCCUUUGAAGUUCCCCAUCAUUGCAAGACAACCAUAUAACAUUCAAAUCUCAUUAUCCAUCCAGCAAUCCAUUUUCCGCAGUGUUUAUCCUCACUAGGGUCGCGGGCGUACUGGAGCCUAUCCCACCUGACUCUGGGCAAGAGGCGGGGUACACCCUGAACUGGUCGCCAGCCAAUCACAGGGCACAUAUAAACAACCAUUCACACUCACGUUCACACCUACGGGCAAUUUAGAGUCUUGAAUUAACCUACCGUACAUGUUUUUGGGAUGUGGGAGGAAACCGGAGUACUCGGAGAAAUGCCACACAGGCAUGGUGAGAACAUGCAAACCCCACACAGGUGAGGCCGGAUUUGAACCCGGGUCCUUAGAACUCAGAGGCAGAUGUACUAACCGGUCGCUUACUGUGCUGACAAAAUCUCAUGUGAAUACAAAUUAUUGGAGGCGCAUUUAAAUCACUGCGAGUGGUCAGGUUCAUAAACUCAUUUAAAGUCAAUGUCAUUUUUUAUUUUUUUAUCGGAUGAACAUGAUGAUGCAGCGAGUCCAAACCAUUUAGAGGGGCCAUUAUUCACUGUCAAUGUUUGUCUCUAUUGCCUUCCAUUAUGUUGUUCUUGAAGAUAACUGUCUUCUACCACAUUAAUAUGUACGACUCACUCCCAUAGGGAUUACUUCAAUCCAUAGCACCCUGAGGAUCGGCUGUCACAUUAGAUGUAAAGUAAAAUUGUACUCAAGUAAAUGAAGUGCACCGGCUAAUGCAGCUCAAAAAUGUGCAGUGUGAAGGACAUGUAGAAAGGUAUGGAUGAGAGCGGUUUGAGUCAUCCUCCAAAAUCAAACAAUACUUGCAAUUCAAAACUGGAAAUUCCAAAUUGAAAACUCUCCCUAUAGAGAUACAUGGAAUAGAAGGCAUCCCUUGUAAGACACACAGUCCUAUGUGCUUGCUGAGACAACAUGGAAGGAAUGAGCACAUCCCCUGUAGGUAAAUACUCAUCAGACCACAGUGUUGGCUACUGUGGUAAUACAUUGCUCCAUCCAUUUACUGGCAGAAUCACACGUUGGCCUGCAAUUCCUGAUUCCCAUUUUUUUCGUUUGGUCCCUUGUUGGCUCAAAAAAGUUCUAUGGCUGAAGUUCUUCCCUGAAAAGAGGACGUGUGUAUUUUUAAGAAUGUAGCUCAUGAAUGUGUUUUGUCUGGAUAUUAGACAAAUGUUUCCUGUAUUGGUCAUAAAAAAUAAA